AAUCUAUUAAUUGUCAGCUAUUAUUGUUAAUUUAUUGAUUAAUUCCUUCCUUAUGAUUUGAUUGGUCACAGAAAUGACUUCGUUAAAUUCCCAGAAAUCUUUUGCCCACCAGUCCAUUUGCAACAAUUUUAUUUUAUCUGAUGGGAAUGAGAUUAUUAUUUGAUUGAUUGGUCACAAAAAUGACUUUGUUAAAUUCCAAGAAAUCAUUUACCUCCCAGUCCAGUACUUACAGUCUGAGUAGUUGUGUUUGGAAUGUGAUUUGUAGUUGUGUUGCCUACUGAUAUUGUUGUUUUAUUGCCUACUGAUAUUGUUGUUUUAUUGUAGAUGAUUACUAAUUUAAAAUUGGUCAGAGAAUAUAUGCCUGGAACAGUGAGAUGCUAAACACCAAUCUGAUCAUUAUUUCUGGGCCUUAUCUUGUUUUAAGUACAAUGGCAGAAGAUAGUGUAAGACUGAAUGUACCACUUGAAAUCUAAGAGAUUCUGAAGAGUACAAUUCUUGUAGCAAAGAACCUUUUUGUUCAGUAGCAUCUGAGUCAGGCAAGAUUUCACGUACAAUGAUGUAUAUUGGAUACAUUGUCUGACUUUGUAUAUGAACAGGAGAGAACAGAGUUUUUCAUAUGAACUGUAACCCUGGGUAGUGUUUGAAUUGAAGACAAACUUAUGUAUUUAUAAGCGUUUAGAUGAGAUUUGAAAUCACACGGUAGUGAACGAAAAGGCAGCAACCCAUUCGUUGCAAUCAAUUACUUUGGGAAUUAAAUCCGGUUAUUUAAUUA